UGACCUCGGAUCAGGUAGGGAUAC
rnacentral:rRNA from 6 species